rnacentral:rRNA from 1 species
GUCCGCACCGUAAACGAUGGGUGCUAGAUGUCACGGGCUUUGACCCCUGUGGCGUCGUAGCCAACGCGUUAAGCACCCCGCCUGGGAAGUACGGCCGCAAGGCUAAAACUCAAAGGAAUUGACGGGGGCCCGCACAAGCGGUGGAGCAUGUGGUUUAAUUCGACGCAACGCGAAGAACCUUACCUGGGCUAGAAAACGUAGGAAGCCUGUUGAAAGACGGGUGUGCUCUUCGGAGAACCUGCGGUUAGGUGCUGCAUGGCUGUCGU